rnacentral:rRNA from 1 species
AACGAACGCUGGCGGCAGGCCUAAUACAUGCAAGUCGAGCGGGUGUAGCAAUACAUCAGCGGCGCACGGGUGCGUAACACGUGGGAAUAUGCCUCUUGGUGCGGAAUAACACAGGGAAACUUGUGCUAAUACCGCAUAAUGACUCCGGUCCAAAGAUUUAUCGCCAAGAGAUUAGCCCGCGUCUGAUUAGCUAGUUGGUGAGGUAAUGGCUCACCAAGGCGACGAUCAGUAGCUGGUCUUAGAGGAUGAUCAGCCACACUGGAACUGAGACACGGUCCAGACUCCUACGGGAGGCAGCAGUAAGGAAUAUUGGACAAUGGGCGAAAGCCUGAUCCAGCCAUGCCGCGUGAGUGAUGAAGGCCUUCGGGUUGUAAAGCUCUUUUGUCCGGGACGAUGAUGACGGUACCGGAAGAAUAAGCCCCGGCUAACUUCGUGCCAGCAGCCGCAGUAA